rnacentral:rRNA from 1 species
UACGUAGGGUGCAAGCGUUGCCCGGAUUUAUUGGGCGUAAAGGGCACGUAGGCGGCUCUGCACGUCCGUUGUGAAAUCGCCCGGCUCAACUGGGCGGGGUCAGCGGAUACGGCAGAGCUUGAGCAAGCUAGGGGGCAAUGGAAUUCCCGGUGUAGUGGUGGAAUGCGUAGAUAUCGGGAGGAACACCAGUGGCGAAGGCGGUUGCCUGGGGCUUUGCUGACGCUGAUGCGCGAAAGCGUGGGGAGCGAUCCGG